UACGUAGGGUGCGAGCGUUGUCCGGAAUUAUUGGGCGUAAAGCGCGCGUAGGCGGCCCUGUAAGUCCGUUGUGAAAGUCAAAGGCUCAACCUUUGAAAGCCGAUGGAUACUGCAGGGCUAGAGUCCGGAAGAGGCGAGUGGAAUUCCUGGUGUAGCGGUGAAAUUCGUAGAUAUCGGGAGGAACACCAGUGGCGAAGGCGGCGAUCUGGGAAGAUACUGACGCUGAGGUGCGAAAGCGUGGGGAGCAAACAGG
rnacentral:rRNA from 1 species